rnacentral:rRNA from 1 species
UGGGGAAUUUUGGACAAUGGGGGCAACCCUGAUCCAGCCAUCCCGCGUGUGCGAUGAAGGCCUUCGGGUUGUAAAGCACUUUUGGCAGGGAAGAAACAGCCUGGGAUAAUACCCCGGGCGACUGACGGUACCUGCAGAAUAAGCACCGGCUAACUACGUGCCAGCAGCCGCGGUAAUACGUAGGGUGCAAGCGUUAAUCGGAAUUACUGGGCGUAAAGCGUGCGCAGGCGGUUCGGAAAGAAAGAUGUGAAAUCCCAGAGCUUAACUUUGGAACUGCAUUUUUAACUACCGGGCUAGAGUGUGUCAGAGGGAGGUGGAAUUCCGCGUGUAGCAGUGAAAUGCGUAGAUAUGCGGAGGAA